rnacentral:rRNA from 1 species
UACGUAGGGACCGAGCGUUGUCCGGAAUCAUUGGGCGUAAAGAGCGUGUAGGCGGCUUGCUAAGUCUUGCGUGAAAUCUCGGGGCUCAACCCCGAGCGGUCGUGGGAAACUGGCAGGCUAGAGUGCGGGAGAGGAGAAUGGAAUUCCUGGUGUAGCGGUGAAAUGCGCAGAUAUCAGGAAGAACACCCGUGGCGAAGGCGGCUCUCUGGGACGGUGCUGACGCUGAGACGCGAAAGCGUGGGGAGCGAACAGG